CCUACGGGUGGCAGCAGUGAGGAAUAUUGGUCAAUGGACGAGAGUCUGAACCAGCCAAGUAGCGUGAAGGAUGACUGCUCUAUGGGUUGUAAACUUCUUUUAUAUGGGAGUAAAAUGUUCCACGUGUGGGAUUUUGUAUGUACCAUAUGAAUAAGGAUCGGCUAACUCCGUGCCAGCAGCCGCGGUAAUACGGAGGAUCCGAGCGUUAUCCGGAUUUAUUGGGUUUAAAGGGAGCGUAGGUGGAUUGUUAAGUCAGUUGUGAAAGUUUGCGGCUCAACCGUAAAAUUGCAGUUGAAACUGGCAGUCUUGAGUACAGUAGAGGUAGGCGGAAUUCGUGGUGUAGCGGUGAAAUGCUUAGAUAUCACGCAGAACUCCGAUUGCGAAGGCAGUUCACUGGACUGCAACUGACACUGAGGCUCGAAAGUGUGGGUAUCAAACAGGAUUAGAUACCCCUGUAGUC
rnacentral:rRNA from 1 species